CUUAUUGCGAGCGGCUGAGGGAGAGGCCCUGUGAAGCCCGGCAACCUGCACGAUCGGUAGUCGUGCAAGGUGCUAAAUCCUACGGCUUGCUGCCGGAAGAUAAGG
rnacentral:ncRNA from 1 species